UACGUAGGAUGCAAGCGUUGUCCGGAUUUACUGGGCGUAAAGCGCACGUAGGCGGGUCGUUAAGUCAGGGGUGAAAUCCCAGAGCUCAACUCUGGAACUGCCUUUGAUACUGGCGACCUAGAGUUCGGAAGAGGUUAGUGGAAUUCCCAGUGUAGAGGUGAAAUUCGUAGAUAUUGGGAAGAACACCAGUGGCGAAGGCGGCUAACUGGUCCGAUACUGACGCUGAGGUGCGAAAGCGUGGGGAGCAAACAG
rnacentral:rRNA from 1 species